rnacentral:lncRNA from 1 species
CACCUGGCUCCCCCCACAGGUGUUCUCGGGACACUGAGGCCUCGAGGUGGGACAGCAGGUGGGUCCUAUUCAAGCCUCAUUCCUUCUUUCAGUCACUUGGCAGGAUGAGGAUGAAGAAGCUGAUACGUAUCCUUCAGACCUCGCAGUCCUAAGGGAGCCUGAGGCCCGGCCUGCCGAGCCAGCCUCGAGGACCUGGGUGAGUUGGAGCCCGGCUCGCCCCUCACCGUCCGUGUUACAUCCGCCUCCUCUUCCUGACCUGACUGUCCCACAGGGCAUGUCUGUCAUCUGCACCGAGGUGAGAUGCUCCCGGCUUGCUGACGUUCCAGCCACAAGGCCCAAGACAAGAAGCAGGACCCACGAAGCACCUCCCACCCUGGGAACUUCGAGGAAGCCCUGUACUACUGAUGGCACUGCCCCAGCACCACCCACCGCGGCCUCCAGCGCUCCCCAGGGGCCCAGCGGGGACCCCAACCCCUCUGCAAGUCCCUGACCCCUGAGCCCAGCAGCGAGGGAGCCCGGCGUCCUGGUGGGGUCCCCAGGAGGCUCAAGGAACCCCUCGGUGAACCCCGGGAGCAAGAACAGGAACACCAGGCAGGGCUUCAAGCAGGGGACAGGCCACGGAGGCCACCGAUGUCUUCCUGCGGGAGUGGAGGGGGGGAGGGCCUUCCCUCUACGCACCUGUCGGUGGCCCUCAGGUCUGGGCAAGGGCCUGGCCUCACCCCGACGGAGAGAGCGUUAGUCUGUGCGCCCCGCGGGGCCGGCCCGGCCGCUCCGGGAAAGCAUUUCCUACUGGCAAGCUGUCGCUGAGGCCCGAGUGGCCAGGGGGCGCAGGACCCGGGGAGUCCAGGAGUUGGGGGGAACGACCCAGCCCGGUGGCAUCUCGGGAUUCUCAACCAGAGCCAGAGCCCCCCGGGGACCCCGAACGCUGCCUUCCACGCGUCCCACUUCUGUUCAGACCCCCUUCCGGGCUCCCAGGUUCAUGGGACUGAGGUUGCCCCAAACCCCCAAACUGCAGUCACCCCUCAAGUGCUCACGUCUGAGCCGUAGACUCUAUCCCUUGAGAGAGUGGAUGGGUCUGUUUCCUGCUAUGCCCCGGUCCCGGUCGCCGUGGGGCCUGAUGGCUGGUUUGCUUUGGCUCGUGGGGUUCACAGUCCUUGACGCGAGAGG